UUCGCGGUAGUCCGCGGGAGGCUCGCACAUCGUGUUCCAAUCUGAUCCGCAGAGCACUCGGUGUGCGUCGUUCCGUGCGCGUCGUGCUGUAACGUAACGCGCUCGCUCAGCUGUCGUUUUCUAAAACGACAGUUCCGCGUCGGUGGUGCACGAUGUGGAGAUCAAUUUCGUGAAGGCGGCAGUGUUGGAUGAGGUGAGCGGCAAACUCCGCUGCUGCAAAUUCGUUAAUUCGGGGAAGAUGAACAUGAGCCUGGGAAUAGGGGCGCGCGGCUCGGAACAACAUCCACUGCGGUUCGCGGAUUACUUUGUCAUAUGCGGCUUGGACAAGGACUCCGGUUUGGAACCAGACAAGUAUUUCGGUGACUCAUUGCAAUGCACGCCUCUGGAUCGAGCGUACGAAGGCAAAGUGUUGGGACAUUAUCCAGACUCGGUACCAUGGAAUCCUUUCGACGAUCACGCCGUCUGCAUGCUUUGUCUGCCAAGCGGCUUGCGAUUCCGUACGCAAAAGCACUCGGUGGAGCCGACCUUCCACUCUUUCGUCCUCACGAAGCAAGACGGUCACCGAACGUACGGGUUCAGCCUUGUUUUUUACGAGGAGUGCCGCAAUCGCAAGAUAUGUAUCGCUAUGCACACGCUGCAGGCGAUGCACAUCACGGAGCUCAGCAGUGGUCAAAACGGCACACCUCCCACAGUGAGGAAGGGCCAGGACGGACAUAACACGAGAUCGCUACCACGUCAUUUUAAAUUGUCAGCUCAUUCGCCGAGUGCUGCGUUAGGAUACUAUGACUAUACCAAAGACAAGUUGCUAGUGACUAAAUCGAUAUCCUUGCUAUGCCAGCAACCUUAUCUCUACGCGGCGAAGACGUUCUUGACUAAUCUCUACAAAUGUUAUUUAUUUAAAAACCGUGAAGAUCUCGAUGAAAUGAAUCUCGAAAAUGAAACAAGCGAUGAAAUUGUUGCUCGGUGUGUUCCUAGACAUCCCGGACCUGGUCUUAGUUUAGAGUCUUACGUGUACAACCUCCUGCACAAUAUACCGGUACCGCUGCCCGGCAAAUCGCUGAAGUUUUACGUACCUAACGACGAACCGGCGAAGUCGCCGCUGGAACUGGUCAUCCAUCAACCGUCUCCGAUGCUGGAGCUACCGAUGCUAGAUUAUCCUCUCAAGGACGUGUUUACAUGGCUAGGGGCGGAUUGUCUGAUUCAGCUGUUCACUUGCGUGCUGCUGGAGAACCAGGUCCUCUUGAGGAGCUCUGAUUUUCACAAGCUGAUGGCGGUGUCCGAGUGCAUAACGGCGCUCUUGUUUCCCUUCUCGUGGCAACAUGUUUACGUACCGAUAUUACCCGCCAGUCUGCAUCACUUCUUGGAUGCACCCGUGCCCUUCAUAAUGGGUCUGCAUGCGCACAGCGAGGGUGGCGUGUUAAAGAUUGCUAGCGAAGCAAACCUUUGCUAUGUAGAUAUAGAUAAGCAAAGUAGUCAAUUUCCGGAAGAAUUACCCGUGUUUCCUCAUAAAAUGCAGUUUAUUACGGAGAUUAGAGCGCUUCUAAACAAGUACAAAGUACCACAUUCAGGAAAGACUGAUAAUAUGGUCAUCAACUAUUACAAUGGCGACAUCAUGACCAGUAGCCUCACACUUCCAGGUUCUGGUUUUCAUCUUCCUCGUAGAAAACAUUCUUUGCACGACGUACUGGAUUGGGAUCGGCCGGAACCACCAUCAUCGCAAUCGGACAAUCUGCAAAGGAUAGUGGAUAUUGUUAAAAGAUCUGUAAAUGUAGAUGACAUCGAUUCCAUGGAGGACACCACAAAGGAAAAAAUACUCACGCCUCAAGAGGAAUACCAAGAUACUCUCAUUUUCAAUAAUGCUAUUAGGGAAAUUUUUUUGAACCGUUUUGUACAAAUGUUUUCUAGUUACGAACAUUUUGUCAUUCAACCGAGCCAGGACAAGGAUGAAUGGAUAAACAAUAGAGAUAGUAUGCACGUUUUUGACAAAGCCACGUUUUUAUCCGACCAGCCUACGCAGCAUCUGCCGUUUUUGUCGAGAUUCCUGGAAACGCAGAUGUUCGCCUCUCUUGUUGACAGCAAAGUGAUGUCAACAUGGAGCGAGCUUGACUACAAUAUUAAAGUUUUCGACCAAAGAAUCUCAGCUCUGAAAAAAAAAGUCGGAGAGAGCAUCAUACGAUCAAUGCGAUACGAGCCUUGCACGAACAUCGCAGACAUACAACAAAUACUCGAGCAAAGAUUAACGAACGUAGACUUCGAAACGAAUCCACCUACGGAGAUUCUUCCUCACAGAGCUGCGUACUUUCGCAGCUUUCCUUUGCUAGAUAGCGUCGUGUUGAACAAAGAGCCUACUCAAAGUAUACUUCGUAGUAGGAGAGAGCAAACACAAUGGAAGUACAAGAUGAAAUCCAUGGACAAUGGAAAGCCCGCGACGCCCCAAGAAUCUCAAUCGCCUCGUCCUCAGACUAAACUCUCAGCGGACAUGAGCCCUGCUUUAAUAGCACAAGCGAAUUGGACGUUCGUGGAAAAAUUACUCAAGGAUUGUAAAUCAAAGACGAAGAGGAUGCUGGUGGAGAAAAUGGGAUCGGAAGCCGUCGCGCUUGGUCACGGCGGCGAGUCUCUAUCGGACGUCGAGGAGAACACUCUAGUCGCUAGCCUCUGUGAUCUAUUGGAGCGAGUGUGGAGCCACGGGCUGCAAAAUAAACAGGGCAAAAGUGCGCUUUGGUCGCAUCUGGCCAUGUAUCAGGAAGCGGUAGAGUGUAAUGACGCAACCAAGUCCAUAGAUCCCAACUUUCUUUCGCCGGCUAAGAAAUCGCCAAAUAAGUUUUUCGGAAUGCCUCAUCGUUUGAUUUCAUCUUUGAGAAGCAAAAGUAUUAUUGCAAUUACCUCUUACAUCAAGGACAGUUUAAAUGAUAAGCCUGGAAUUGGCUUGCCGCAACAAGGUUUAGUUUCACGAAAUUUGUCGAACUUACAAUUGGAGACGGACGUUUCGCCCACGAGAGGCGCGGACAAGCAUAAAUCUCCCGGUGAUAGAAAAAGCGUCGGUCCAGAACACUUGAGGCCUCUCCCAGAUUCUCUAAUCUUCGACAUUCGUAAUGUUCAAGCGAUGACCGAUAUCAAAACGCACAUUGGAUACGCGAGAGCGUGGGUGCGAUUGGCGCUUGAGAAAAAAUUGUUGUCACGCCAUUUGAAAACGUUAUUGUCGGAUACUGCUCUAUUGAGGAGUCAGUACAAACGAUCAGCGUUUUUGCGCUGUGAAGAAGAGAAGGAGCAAUUCUUGUAUCACCUUCUGACACUCAAUGCUGUUGACUAUUUUUGCUUCACGAACAACUAUCCGACGACGAAAUUACCGUAUCGAGUAGUGAUAUUCCCCAGUCGAAAGGCGAGCGCCGCUACCACUUCGGCCAAUAGUUGGAUUGCUAUUUCUGGUACACUCUGCGAAACCAAUCCCGUGCCGAUACCGAAGGGAGCACUUGAAUUUGUAUUCCACCAUAAAAACUUAGGCGUGUUGUCUACGCUACGGAUUGGACAUGACAAUACUGGAUUGUCACCGAAAUGGAUGGUGGAACACGUUGUAGUGAGAAACGAAGUGACGGGGCACAUGUUUAAGUUUCCUUGUGGCCGCUGGCUUGGCAGAGGAAUAGACGACGGAUCCACUGAACGUUUAUUAGUGGGAGCUUUAGUACCUCGAAGCAUUGAUAGCGAAGAGUUGAUGGAAUCAUGUUCCACACCUCCGAGAUGUAGAUCACCAAGUAUACCCAGGCGUCCCAUAUUGUCGCAAGUCGAACUACAGCACAUGCUCGGCGAGGCUGUAAAUGCCAUUGUUAAAUAUCAUUAUAGAAGAGAGUGUCAAGAUGGUUCCUUGACAGCUCUGCUGUGUGGAGAGGGUGGUCUUGUGCCGUCCUUGGAACAAAUAUUUUUAUUUGGUUUCAAAAAUCAGAGAAUAUUUGGGAGGAACUUCUAUGUAUGGGAUUAUCUCUUGCGUGUGAAAGAAAAUUUUGAGAUCUCCUUGUUGGAGGAAAUGGACGAGUACUCUCAAAGACUCAAUCGAGACAGAAGAAUGUACUCGGAAAGCAGCCAAAGGUUCACAAUCUUAAGAUGUUAUUGCCACCUUAUCGAUCAAAUUAAUAUGUUUAGUCAGACUUUAGGAAAGGACGGAAAAUUCCAAUUGUUUGUCUGUUUAGCAGCGAGAGAGAAACUUCUUCAUCCAAUGUUACGGCCGAUGAGCGAUGCGCGUUCCACGAUGGAUAUGUACGAGGAAAGUUCGUUCCUGAGAAAUCCUACUUUACUGACGUUCCUCAUUCAUAUUCUUGAACCGUUAAGUGAAUUCCACAUUGUCCUUGAAAAGAGCCUGACCCACGGAAUCUCUAGUAUAUGUUAGUAUUUGCCAAAACGUACCGAUGUACGCUAACUCGUUGCGGAUAUUUCGUGCUUCUUCGGUGAGUGUUGCGAAUAUUCGUAAUCUUAAAAUUACAUUGGGCUUUCCAAUCGGUACAAGAAUGUAUCGUUAUUUGACAUUUUAUUUAUUGAUGAUAACGAACAAUCAUCCUUUUUGUAAACAGGAAUAUGCAUAUUUAUUUUUACCUGACAGAAGAGAUAAUUCUAAAUAGUAUCGAAUGAUGAAUCUGAUUGUUACUAAGUAAGGUGAUAAAAAACUCGACAAUUUUUGUCAUAUACAAGAGAUUAAAAGGAAUAUUAAAACUGAAGAUUGUUACAAGGAUGUAACUAUAUAAUACGCGUUUAUAAAUAACAAAUUAAGAGAUUAAGAAACUUACGAUAUUAUCAUCGGUGAUAAAAAAAAUUAAUAUAUGCUUAGAAUAUGUUUGGCCCCAUUUUGCCAUAACUAUCAAGCGAGAAAAGUGAAGUUUGUUGAAAUAUGAUGAAAUAUGAUGAAAUAUUGAUACAAUGACGAAUCGUGCACCAAAGAUGUAAUCCUAUUUAAUCAUUUUAUAUUAUUGUUAUUAGAUGUUAAGUUUUUUUUAUUAUUAUACAUUUUCAUACGUUUUAAAAUAUACGAAAUUUUCACAAUCAUUUUUAUACUCAUACAUGCAGACUAAUGACGAUUUGAUUACACAAAAAUAUUUUCCGAAAUUUUAAUAGGAGAAAUUAUUGCAACACACGAUCCACAUGCAAUCUGUUGAGUUUCGGGCAAUGAGCGGUAGAUAAAAAAAUCGGAGAAUAAUUAUUACUCUUUUUUUUUAAUGGCUGUGCUUCGAUACUUGCGUGCUAUGAAAUCAAAUGUAACUUAUGUUGAGCUAAAUACUCUCUAACAUGACAAUUUUAUAUUAUAUUUAUCACAAUGAUUGCAAAAGCUUUAACGAGAUAUAUAAUUCCAUUCAUUUCUAGAUGAUUCUAGUAAAAAAAUUUUUUUGUUUUAAAGGAAACGCCAAUGUUUUAAAGUUUUAGAUUGAUAUGUCACUUUUGUAAGGGAAUCAUUUCUUUUUCGAGUUAGUAAUGCGUUAUUCGGAAAACAACUCGUAGCCGAUAUUAUGUAUUGUGAUCAUUUUAGACUGAGGGAUAAUAUCCGUAUUAUUUCUGUAAGUGUACUUUGUAUCUCUUUUACAUCCAAAAUGUAUUUCACGAUUGCAUUUUACGUUGGCCACGUUGAAGUGGAGCUGCAAUCGUACAUGCGAUCGAGGAAUCUCGUGACAUAUUUUAUACGAAUACCUCGAAUUAUGUAUCUCUCUCUUUCUCUCUCUCUCGUUAUUAGCAUUAUUUAGCACUUUGUAAUAUAAUCAGGUAUAAGGAGGAGUACAAAAUUGUAAAAGUUAAGUGUUUUUGGGGGCAUCAAUACAUAAGGAGCUCACUACAGCAAUGCUACUGCGUGAGCUCACUAACUGCACUGAUACAAUACUCAUUGCAGCCUGUUUUUACACAGGCUACAAUACUCAUUGUAGUUUAUAAUUCUUAAUAAAUUCGUAAUCAAGGUCGUUGCCCUAUUGUAUAUAAGUAUGGAUAUUAAAAAGCUUCGUGUAUAAGAACUUUUACAAAGCAUUAAGUAAGAUGUAUAUAUUGUAAGGCAUAUUAUUGUACAGUAAAAUAAAUCAUUAUCGAAAGGA
rnacentral:misc_RNA from 1 species